CUCCUUUGCAGAAGGAUGGUCCUCUAUGGACAUCUUACUAGACAGUGCUGGAUUUAUUUUAUCUUUUCUAACACUGUCUGGUAACGAUGUUUAAAGAGUGAGCCAAUGUACUUCGUGUUCC
rnacentral:precursor_RNA from 14 species